CCGACGGUGAGGGGUGAAAGCUGGGGGAGCAAACCGGAUUAGAUACCCGGGUAGUCCCAGCCGUAAACGAUGUGCGUUAGGUGUAUCGGUGACCACGAGUCACCGAGGUGCCGAAGAGAAAUCGUGAAACGUACCGCCUGGGAAGUACGGUCGCAAGGCUGAAACUUAAAGGAAUUGGCGGGGGAGCACCACAACAGGUGGAGCCUGCGGUUUAAUCGGACUCAACGCCGGAAAACUCACCAGAUAAGACAGCUGAAUGAUAGUCGGGCUGAAGACUCUACUUGACUAGCUGAGAGGAGGUGCAUGGCCGUCGUCAGUUCGUACUGUGAAGCAUCCUGUUAAGUCAGGCAACGAGCGAGACCCACGCCAACAGUUGCU
rnacentral:rRNA from 1 species